UAAUAGAGGCGCGAAGUGCAUCAGUAGCACCGGGCAAGGCCAGGCAGCCGUCCGGUGGGAAAGGGAGCUUCGCCGAAGGGCCGCAUGAUGCCUGCAGUGCGGUUACCUGGGCCGUCGGAGAAGAUCCGCCGGACUGCCACGGAUCUGUGGAGCGCUAUCGG
rnacentral:ncRNA from 1 species